AGGAUGAACGCUGGCGGCGUGCCUAACACAUGCAAGUCGAACGUUAGGAAAUAGCAAUAUUUCUGAAAGUGGCGAUCGGGUGAGUAACACGUAGGUAACCUGCCGCGCAGAGGGGGAUAACGACUGGAAACGGUCGCUAACACCGCAUGGUACUAGGAAAAGGGGACUUUUUCUGGUUAAAACCUUGGUGCUGCGCGAGGGGCCUGCGUCCGAUUAGUUAGUUGGUGAGGUAGUGGCUCACCAAGACGAUGAUCGGUAGCUGGUCUGAGAGGAUGAUCAGUCACACGGGAACUGAGACACGGUCCCGACUCCUACGGGGGGCAGCAGUGAGGAAUAUUGCACAAUGGACGCAAGUCUGAUGCAGCAACGCCGCGUGGAGGAUGAAGGCCGUUGGGUCGUAAACUCCUUUUUUACGAGGAAGAGAGAGGACGGUACCAGAAGAAUAAGUCGACGGCUAAACUACGUGCCAGCGAGCCGC
rnacentral:rRNA from 1 species